GGGUUCAGAGAAUAUUCUCUGGAGGAAUAUUUAGCUGGUCGGGCCGCCAUCUG
rnacentral:ncRNA from 12 species